AUGAUGCCAGCUUGAAGAGAGUAGGAGGCUCUAUGACAGGAAGACAGCUUUUUUCCACUGACGAAUUGAAAGGUGGGGAAAGUUUUGGUACUUGCUCACCUGCACAGCAAGUUGAGAGUUCGAAGAAACAGCCCGACUGCAGUGUGUCUGAUCCUAAUGCCAUCAUCACAUCCAUUUUAGCUGAGAUAAAUGAGAAUCAUUCCUUUGAAAAUGUAGUUGGAGAUGCUGAAAUCGAAACUGUAAGUGUUGGUGUUAAACAGCCAUCAGCUGUUUCCACUGAGUCGGAUCUCCUCUCGGAGAAGCAACUACUAGAAAAUGAGCAGGAAAAACAUAGUUCUAAAGCAACACAG
rnacentral:misc_RNA from 1 species